UACGAAGGUGGCAAGCGUUGUUCGGAAUUACUGGGCGUAAAGCGUGCGCAGGCGGUGAGUGAUAGAACAGAAUCGGUGAAAUCCCCGGGCGUCAACCUGGGAACUGCAUUUUGUGACUGCAUCGCUGGAGUGCGGCAGAGGGGGAUGGAAUUCCGCGUGUAGCAGUGAAAUGCGUAGAUAUGCGGAGGAACACCGAUGGCGAAGGCAAUCCCCUGGGCCUGCACUGACGCUCAUGCACGAAAGCGUGGGGAGCAAACAGG
rnacentral:rRNA from 1 species